GCACAAGCGGUGGAGCAUGUGGUUUAAUUCGAUGAUACGCGAGGAACCUUACCUGGGCUCAAAUGUAUGUUGACGUAUUCUGAAAGGGAUACUUCUUCGGACAAUAUACAAGGUGCUGCAUGGUUGUCGUCAGCUCGUGCCGUGAGGUGUCGGGUUAAGUCCCAUAACGAGCGCAACCCCUAUCAUUAGUUGCCAUCAGGUCAAGCUGGGGACUCUAAUGAAACUGCCUACGCAAGUAGUGAGGAAGGUGGGGAUGACGUCAAAUCAGCACGGCCCUUACGUCCAGGGCUACACACGUGCUACAAUGGCCGAUACAGAGGGCAGCUACCUGGUGACAGGAUGCAAAUCUCCAAAGUCGGUCUCAGUUCGGAUCGGAGUCUGCAACCCGACUCCGUGAAGUUGGAUUCGCUAGUAAUCGCGCAUCAGCCAUGGCGCGGUGAAUACGUUCCCGGGCCUU
rnacentral:rRNA from 1 species